AGAGUUUGAUCAUGGCUCAGAACGAACGCUGGCGGCAUGCCUAACACAUGCAAGUCGAACGAGACCUUCGGGUCUAGUGGCGCACGGGUGCGUAACGCGUGGGAAUCUGCCCUUCGGUUCGGAAUAACUCAGGGAAACUUGAGCUAAUGCCGGAUAAUGACUUCGGUCCAAAGAUUUAUCGCCGAGGGAUGAGCCCGCGUAGGAUUAGCUAGUUGGUGAGGUAACGGCUCACCAAGGCAACGAUGCGUAGCCGACCUGAGAGGGUGAUCGGCCACACUGGGACUGAGACACGGCCCAGACUCCUACGGGAGGCAGCAGUAGGGAAUCUUCCGCAAUGGACGAAAGUCUGACGGAGCAACGCCGCGUGAACGAUGAAGGCCUUCGGGUCGUAAAGUUCUGUUGUUAGGGAAGAACAAGUACCAGAGUAACUGCUGGUACCUUGACGGUACCUAACCAGAAAGCCACGGCUAACUACGUGCCAGCAGCCGCGGUAAUACGUAGGUGGCAAGCGUUGUCCGGAAUUAUUGGGCGUAAAGCGCGCGCAGGUGGUUUCUUAAGUCUGAUGUGAAAGCCCACGGCUCAACCGUGGAGGGUCAUUGGAAACUGGGGAACUUGAGUGCAGAAGAGGAAAGUGGAAUUCCAAGUGUAGCGGUGAAAUGCGUAGAGAUUUGGAGGAACACCAGUGGCGAAGGCGACUUUCUGGUCUGUAACUGACACUGAGGCGCGAAAGCGUGGGGAGCGAACAGGAUUAGAUACCCCGGUAGUCC
rnacentral:rRNA from 1 species